GUGGGGAAUUUUGGACAAUGGGCGCAAGCCUGAUCCAGCAAUGCCGCGUGCAGGAAGAAGGCCUUCGGGUUGUAAACUGCUUUUGUACGGAACGAAAAGGCUCUGGCUAAUACCUGGAGCUCAUGACGGUACCGUAAGAAUAAGCACCGGCUAACUACGUGCCAGCAGCCGCGGUAAUACGUAGGGUGCGAGCGUUAAUCGGAAUUACUGGGCGUAAAGCGUGCGCAGGCGGUGCUGUAAGACAGGCGUGAAAUCCCCGGGCUCAACCUGGGAAUUGCGCUUGUGACUGCAGCGCUGGAGUGCGGCAGAGGGGGAUGGAAUUCCGCGUGUAGCAGUGAAAUGCGUAGAUAUGCGGAGGAACACCGAUGGCGAAGGCAAUCCCCUGGGCCUGCACUGACGCUCAUGCACGAAAGCAUGGGGAGCAAACAGGAUUAGAUACCCCAGUAGUCC
rnacentral:rRNA from 1 species